rnacentral:rRNA from 1 species
GAUGAACGCUGGCGGCGUGCUUAACACAUGCAAGUCGAACGAUGAAGCCCAGCUUGCUGGGUGGAUUAGUGGCGAACGGGUGAGUAACACGUGAGUAACCUGCCCUUGACUCUAGGAUAAGCCCGGGAAACUGGGUCUAAUACUGGAUAGGAACGUCUACCGCAUGGGGGGUGUUGGAAAGAAUUUCGGUCAUGGAUGGACUCGCGGCCUAUCAGCUUGUUGGUGAGGUAAUGGCUCACCAAGGCGACGACGGGUAGCCGGCCUGAGAGGGUGACCGGCCACACUGGGACUGAGACACGGCCCAGACUCCUACGGGAGGCAGCAGUGGGGAAUAUUGCACAAUGGGCGAAAGCCUGAUGCAGCGACGCCGCGUGCGGGAUGACGGCCUUCGGGUUGUAAACCUCUUUCAGUAGGGAAGAAGCGAAAGUGACGGUACCUGCAGAAGAAGCACCGGCUAACUACGUG